rnacentral:rRNA from 1 species
UACGUAGGGGGCAAGCGUUGUCCGGAAUUAUUGGGCGUAAAGAGCGUGUAGGCGGUCCGGUAAGUCGGCUGUGAAAGUCCAGGGCUCAACUGCAGGCUGGCGGUCGAUACGGGCAGGCUGGAGUUCGGUAGGGGAGACUGGAAUUCCUGGUGUAGCGGUGAAAUGCGCAGAUAUCAGGAGGAACACCGGUGGCGAAGGCGGGUCUCUGGGCCGAUACUGACGCUGAGGAGCGAAAGCGUGGGGAGCGAACAGG